rnacentral:rRNA from 1 species
UCAGGACGAACGCUGGCGGCGUGCCUAAUACAUGCAAGUAGAACGCUGAGGUUUGGUGUUUACACUAGACUGAUGAGUUGCGAACGGGUGAGUAACGCGUAGGUAACCUGCCUCAUAGCGGGGGAUAACUAUUGGAAACGAUAGCUAAUACCGCAUAAGAGUAAUUAACACAUGUUAGUUAUUUAAAAGGAGCAAUUGCUUCACUGUGAGAUGGACCUGCGUUGUAUUAGCUAGUUGGUGAGGUAAAGGCUCACCAAGGCGACGAUACAUAGCCGACCUGAGAGGGUGAUCGGCCACACUGGGACUGAGACACGGCCCAGACUCCUACGGGAGGCAGCAGUAGGGAAUCUUCGGCAAUGGACGGAAGUCUGACCGAGCAACGCCGCGUGAGUGAAGAAGGUUUUCGGAUCGUAAAGCUCUGUUGUUAGAGAAGAACGUUGGUAGGAGUGGAAAAUCUACCAAGUGACGGUAACUAACCAGAAAGGGACGGCUAACUACGUGCCAGCAGCCGCGGUAAUACGUAGGUCCCGAGCGUUGUCCGGAUUUAUUGGGCGUAAAGCGAGCGCAGGCGGUUCUUUAAGUCUGAAGUUAAAGGCAGUGGCUUAACCAUUGUACGCUUUGGAAACUGGAGGACUUGAGUGCAGAAGGGGAGAGUGGAAUUCCAUGUGUAGCGGUGAAAUGCGUAGAUAUAUGGAGGAACACCGGUGGCGAAAGCGGCUCUCUGGUCUGUAACUGACGCUGAGGCUCGAAAGCGUGGGGAGCAAACAGGAUUAGAUACCCUGGUAGUCCACGCCGUAAACGAUGAGUGCUAGGUGUUAGGCCCUUUCCGGGGCUUAGUGCCGCAGCUAACGCAUUAAGCACUCCGCCUGGGGAGUACGACCGCAAGGUUGA